UCUAAAAACACUUGGGUUAUUUCUUUAACCCAAUUCUUUGAUUAUUCAUGUUGGGUUAUAAUUUUGGGUUACCUUUUUGGAGGGUUACUCAUUUUCUGGGUUAUUGUGGCUUAAUUUCAACCCAAUUCAUGCUUUAUCCUUAACCAAAAUUAUUGAGUUAUUUUUUGACCCAUUAAUUAGGUUAAGUAGAUUAUGUGUUUAUAUGAUAACUAUAUGAUUAAGGCCUAUUAAAAGUUUUUUUUUAUUAAAAUUUACAUUUUUAUAUUUGAAAACAUGAAAAUGUUAGAGGAUUGAAUCAAGGGAAAUAAAAAAGAGAAAAUUAAGGAAAAUUUACAAAAUGUGCAAUAGAAAUACAAACAUAAAAAACACACACAAUACACGGUAAAUUUCCCAGUGCAAUAUAUUCGUAGUCAAACUGUUCUAACUCUUUCAGAGCAAGUGUAAGGCCCCAAUCUCAUUUUCAAGGUGUUGGUAUUAACAGCUGUACAUUUUGCAGUGUUAAAUAUGUUCAUUUACUCUUUUAGAGUUGUUUUAACAAAAUAAUGUGCAAAAUGCCACCUAGUGGUGGUGAAUAAAUCUGGUGUGGAGAGACAUAGAAAGCUCCGCCCACCUCUUCACAUUUGAACCAAACCAUACCAGGAGUACGUGACCAACGUCCCUUCAAGACUAUGGUCAUCACCACCCAGGCAGGUGAAAGAAAUCUACGCCGGGGGAUUUGUGGUCUUCUUUUCAAUCUGAGUGACCUUUCAGGGAGCGUUCAUUUCUCCAGGACCGGUCAUGACCGUUACUGAUGGUGAGAGUGGCACAAGCUACCUGGCAUGGAGGAUUAAAAACUACUCAGCAAUCUGAAGCAGGAUGCAGACGAGCAUCACACAGAGGUUGGAACAAACAUCGCGGAAUACCUCCAGGGGGUGGAGUCCAGGCCCUAUCCAUCGGUUCUGGCCCUUGGACAAGUGAUGCAAAAUUCUUUACAAGCUUUUGCUGUGAUGGCUGGUCAGGUAUACCCUGAAGAUGCACUGGGGCAGUUGGUGUCUGCUUCAAGACAUUUUAUGUGUUUGAUAUCAACUACCCCAUGCAGUGUGCCUCUUCAUGGGAGUUCCUCCAGAAAGUGGUUUAUGACAUGGAGGGACCAGAAUCUAACGAAGUUAAGUUUUUAAAGACUGUCUUAAAGAAUGUGAAAGUGUUUUAAAAAAAAAUCUGAAUUCAUAAUAGUUUAUGGAAAAAAAACAUUCAUUUGUUACAGAUGCUUUUUCUUCUACUUGCAGAAAAAUUGCUAACUACUACUUGUUACUGCUGCUUUUUUAAGAAAGCAUUUGUCUUCUGUAUUUUAUUGGUACCCCUUCUUGGAUUUUAUUCUAAAUAAAUAUUUGUCAUUAA